UACGGAGGGUGCAAGCGUUGUCCGGAUUUAUUGGGUUUAAAGGGUGCGUAGGUGGGACAGUAAGUCUGAUUUGAAAGCAAGCGGCUUAACCGUUUGAUGUGGUUGGAAACUGCGGUUCUUGAAUGGGUUGGCGGUAGCCGGAAUGGGGUCAUGUAGCGGUGAAAUGCAUAGAUAUGACCCGGAACACCGAUUGCGAAGGCAGGCUACUA
rnacentral:rRNA from 1 species